UGCAGCGCUCGUGGGAGCAGUGCAUGCGCGCCGGGGCAGCGGAGACACGGCUCCGCUGGGUGAGGCGUUGGCAGCGGGGCCGCGGAGGGAGCAGCUAUGAAACAUGUAGCCCUACAAGCUGCUGAGCCCAGGUAAGUGAGGCAGUGAGCAAAGCAAGCCCUCCGCAGGACGAGCACCUCCCACUGCCUGCACCAGCACAGUCAGCCCCAGGAGCAGCACCUUCCGCAGUGCCUGUGCCAAGAGAUGUAGAGCUGAAGCACUGUGUCCAGCACCCCGAGGCCUGGUGCACAACUACUGUGGGACAAUGUAUGAGCCAGCUAGCAAGGUAUGACAUGAGAUUCAUUUCCACACUCUACACAAACCUCUUUUCAUUUCUUUUGUAUUAUUUAGCUCUGUUCAUGCUGAUGAAUUACCACAAUAACUAAGGAGUAAGAUAAUAGCAGAUAGCAAUUUGCACUCUAAAGUGAAUUAAUUUUCUUUUAAUCAGGCAUUGCUAAAUAGCAUGAUGGGAAUAGAGUUCAGUGCUUCUUAAUGUUAAGUAUUUGCUUGCCUGAAGUAGUGCUAAAAAAUAUGACUGCUCUGGGGAAGCCCUACAACCACAAAACAGGGGAAAGAUACCAAAUCUGAAAUACACUGCUAUGACAAAACAUAAGGACUGUUUGAUUUACCCUUAACACCUGGAAAUAACCAAAUUAACUUCAUGUACUUUUCAUGCUUCGGUUAGCUUAUAAUUCACUGUAUUAAAGUAAUUCUGUUCAUUAGGCAGAGAAAGUACAGGUUGAGUGUUAAACAAUUUUAACUUAAAUACGCACUUAAUACUUAGCCAAAAGUAGUUAAAAUCUAAUCUAAGGUUGUUAUUUGAGUCAAUAACAUAUUUUACAUAAGUGUUCUGUACAAGAAAAUACAAGAUGAAACAUUCUGUUUACAGCGUCAAACUGUGUACUUGUAAAUUGAUCAUAACGAAUCCAGCUGGUAACGGAGUUAGUAAGCAAGGCAACAGCAUUGUUUCUUAACAAUCCCACCAGAUAACUGUGGAGUUCUUUGAAGAUAUCUCUUUACAGUGCCUGGAACAGGGAAUAAUCUAACAUUGGUCUUCCCUACUAGGAAUUUUAAAGCACACAGUGAUUAUGUGCCAUUUUAUGACAUUUUUGUAUGAAGGAACUGUUCGAUCUUUUCCAAACAUAGAAUUUCCCCCAUACAGCAUCCAAAUCUCACUAACCUGAUCUGUCAGAGAUAUUGAAUGUAUUUUAGCCAUCCAAAGAGUAAUGUUUUGAUUUACUGCUAUACAUCCUGAGCAUGAGACAAUGAAGUGAGGGAACACUCUUUCAGUGAACGUUAUACAGAUCACAUUAAAAUGCUCCUACGUUUACACCGCUAUUUUUCAAACCCAUUUAUUGUUGUUGCUAUUUGUUCUUUCUUUGGUUUAUAUACCUUCUGUCCACAGAUAUUCGUGGAUAAAAUGAAAAGAGCAGCUCUGACAGUAAACUAAAAGAACAUUCUUCAAUUUUUUUCCAUAUACACUUUCAGGUAAUCUGGCAGUCAGUGAAGUUCAUUAAAAACCAAGGGUACAACUUUCUUAAAAUUAACAAAAUUGGGAUAUCUCCAACUCCAAUUAAGCAUGGUAAAAUAAAAUAAUAAUAAUAAUAAGAGUCUAUUGCUAAUUAAAGCCAUAAUUAGUAAGAUGUUGACCUAUUUUAAAGAUUUUUGUAGUUCCUCGUCUCUGUUCUGUACAGGACUCUAAAGAUCAAUUAGAAUAAAUCAUUUGCUUAAAAAGAGUGCCAGAAAUCCAAAAAAAAAAAAAGAAAGAAAGAAAGAUGCAAUUUUUUUCCUUCUUUGUAUUUCUUUGGCUCAAUUUCAAUCAGUUAAAAUGUCAGAUUACCUACCUUAGUCAAAUCAGUGAAAGCAGGCAUAGUUCACAGGUUACAACUAUUUUUGCAAUACUUAGAAAGCCCAGCCUUCUGACUUAACAGGGAAAAGGAAGAAAGUUUAUUUUAUCACCAUCAGUAUAAAACUGAAACAGUGUACAUGCCUGUUCAGAUAGAUCUUCUGCAUUUACAUCUUCACAAACUCAGUUUUAGUAUGCAUGACAUUUUCACAAGACCCUUAAGGUCUUGUCAAGCAAGGUUUAAGCACGCAGGAUGAAGAUUUGAAGCACGUAGGCUGUAAUACACAUUUGGAAAGGAAUUCUUUCCUUCUUUGCAUGAAGCCUUGGUUCCGGUUGGCACUGCAGCACAUACUGCAGGCCCCAGCUGUGCUCAGGCCCCAGAAUUGUGCAGUGGGGUGAGCACAUGUGCUCAGAGCCCCCAUGACCAACAGAAUACUACAAACACUUGGGCAGGAUGUUUGUACAUAUCAAACAAACUGCACAGGUCAUAGGUACCAUAUGGUAUCAUAUACUGCAGUCAAUUAAAUAUCACCAAAUGCUAUAUACAAGUGAAACAGAAAAUUAAUUCUGUAUGAAAAGACAAAAUGUUCAGCAAAAUGUUCAACAAUAGCAGAAAUGGUCCCCAAACACUUUUCCUGAUCUGUGAAAAGUGUCGAACAUUACCUAAAAAGGGACAUAAUGACUUCAAGGACUGAGAACAGUAGAAAUGGAAUGAGAUGUCAUGUGAGGAUGUGGAAGAUCACACUCUGGAGUUAAAGAGAUUAUUUCAUGUUAUAAGUUAGGACUGUGGUGGCCGGGGGAAGUAGGUGGAAAGUAUUUUGGCAUUUGAUUUGAUUGCAUAGUAUCUGCAUGUGAUAUCCACCUAGGAAAAAAAAAGAAAAAAAAGGCCAGUGAGGUGCUAUAAUGGGAAAUUAUUUUAUGCCUGGGCAAUAUAUAUUAUUAAUAUAUAUUAUAUAUUAUAACCCUAGGUGUAGGUGAGGCUUCACUGGGAAUACUAUGUGCAGUCAUAGUCAGAAGAAGGGUUGCCAAGACAGCGCAGAAAAAAAGGAACCUCCUGUCUGUAAAGUGGUCAGAAACUGAUGUGUUAGCUCAGCAUAAUGAAGUCAAAGGAGGAGGUGUGGUGGCUGUUUGGAAAUGUCUAAGAAGAAGGAACGUCAGAUUAGGCAAAGAAAUGGUUGUGCUUCAGUGUGGAUGCACAGACGCUGUCUUGGAAAUAAAUAAUGUAAUCAAAGCAUAAAGAGAGGUAAAUUCAUGUACACUCAUAAGACUAGCGGAGGUGGGGAACACUGACUUGCAGUGGGAGUAACUAAAUUCAUUUACUGAAGAUUAUUCUGGUCCUUUUUUUUCUAACAAGCUGAAAUCUCAAAAAAGAGAAAGAAUAGAUGACCAAGAGCAAGAGAGCAAGAAUAUGAGAGAGAGAGAGAGAGAGAAGGCAAAGAAGAAACAGGAGGGAAGGGAAGAAAGAUGUUUUCAAAUAAAAGGAAUUGUUCACAACAAACUAUUUUAAUCCAUUCAUUUGGAGUAUUUUUCAGUUGGGUCAUUUACCACAGUGUACCCCUCCAGUAUUUGAUUUCAGUGAAUCAGCAUUUUCUUUUGUACCAAAAAAAAUUGUUACAAAACCCUAAAUCCACUACUACACAAAUAAGCCUCUGUUGUUUGAAGUUUUCCUUCAUUUGUGAUGCUUAAUUUCCAUAUUGACAUAAGCUUAAACAUGUGAAAAAUAUGGGAAGCUUACAGGAACAGAAAAUUGGACUAUGUUAUGGCUUGUUUAUCGUUGCUGGAAAGAAAUUCUCACUUAAUGUUCUCCAAAUGACGGGAUUCAAAAGCUUUUCUCUUUAUUAAUUUUUGUGAUUUUAAACACAGAGACAAGGAAAAUGCAAAGCCUCUUUUUCUUUGCUAAGUUAUGUGGGCUGAGAGAAGAACUUUGACUAUUUUUAUUUUCUGCUGACCACAUAGAGGCAAAGAAUUCAACUGCCGGACACGUCAUUCAUACAGAGGCAUAUCUAAGUUCCAAAAAUACAUACAAAUAAAUUAUACACCUAAUAUCAACUUCAUUAAUAUUAAUCUAUUUUCAGAUAAUCACUGGUUCAUACAGGCAUGUUACAUCAUAACUGAUCUUCAACAAUAUGUAACAAUGUUUAUGUUAAAAUAUUUUUAUUUUCCCUCAGUUUUUUGAGGCAAAGCAAAUGCUGGAAUAAAAGUCAUCUAAUGAUGCAAAAGUCUGAGGAAAUCAUAAAUGCAGGAACAGGGGUGGUUAGAACUGAAUGCUCUUCACCACUCUUACCAUCUCAGUCUACAAACAUGACUGUGUGUCCAGAUGCAGCACAUGAGCCUGCCACAUGACAACUGUUCUACAGCUCACGAGUGGGUGUGAAGGAGAAAAGAAGGAAGACUACCCAAGCCAAUCCAACUGGAAACAGCAAAAGUGCCUGGAACAUAAUAGGAAUAUAGAAGCUGACUAUUUAUUUGAAUGAAUGCGACCAGUCCUGAGUAGAAAGGAGGACUGAGAUAUUAUACAAAAUUAAAUCAAGAGAAAUAAUUCUCCAGCUUCAGAAGAUUGCACUGCAAUACGGAGAAGCACAGAAGUGAUACAAAGAGCAACGGGACUGUGAAAAUUACAUUAAAAUAUUUUGGUUUGUUGUUUGAUUUUUGUUUGUUUGCUUGCUUUUGUUUUUAAUUUAUAAUACAUUUUCCUCAAUUGUGUAUCAUCAUCCUUUUAUGUUGAGCUUAAGACAUUCAUGCAAGCAAUUUUAUUUCCAGCAAACAUUAACAUUUGGUAGCUAAGCACAAAAAUCCCCACACUUUUAUAUCUCCACAUGCACGUUUCCACUGAAUUUGCUCAAGCACUUCAUCCGAUCAAAGAGUAAGAACAAUUCUGUUCAACAAGCAAGACCCACAAACAGGUUUCGAGUAAUAAAGAAUGACUUCAAAGAGCUGUUUUCUGAUGAACACUGAAACGUUUGCUGAGCAUGCUAGAAAAAGCUGUGUCUGUUCAUACAUAGGUUGGAUACUGGAGCACAACAAAUUUUUCCUUAAGCCACGUGAAGAAGGAUGAAGGGAAAGCAGACAGGGAUAAACCUUGAGCACUGAAGCUGUGAUUUCAAGCCAAAGCCUGCCCUUAUGGAGCCUUAUGGGGGGGUUAUGAAAAGCUUCUACGGAACAGGAAAACAAGUCCUUCUUUCUUCCUAUGUGCUUCAGAGAACUGAGAAAAACAGAAAGACCUGGAAUUGAGAAAGAUCAGUAAAGGAGAGCAGUAGAUUAGUCCAGGCAGGAAUAUGCAGAAACAAUUCCCAUGAAGGAUUUGCAAAGAUAAAUAAGAACAAAUGUGAGAGAAAGUUGGAUGAUCAUGUUAAAUAAUUCUGAAAUACUCGCUGUUGAAUGAGCAGGAGAAACCUGGCUUUGAAUUUGUUAGAAUUAUACAGAAACAUUAAAGUAUUGCCUCAUCAACACACAUCAAUUAAGGUAAUAUGAAUCAAUGUAAUGCAUAACAGACUUGUAUAAUCUCCCUAUAUGAAAUCUGAUGUUUCCCUGUUGUGCUUGAGUUUGCAUCUCUAUAUUUUUCUUAAUUUUAGAAACUGUCCUACUUGCAGCUACGGCUUUCCUGGCGGAGAAUGACAGGGUGGGAUUUUAGUCAUCAACAGUGCUCAGCUAAGGAGUCAAAUUGUGUUAAAUGAGCCCUCUGCUACUCCGUGAGAUGGUGUUGAACUUAAACACCUGAGCUGCAUGCAGGAUUUCUUUGUCCUUCUAUUGCUAGGAAAGAUGGCACAUUUACAAAGUGACUGCAAAGGUAAGGAGUUAGUGAUCAUCAUACCAAUUGUUCAUAUUUUCUGAAGGCUCUAGAGAAACACACAGCAGUCCAUUAACCAACCAAACAAGCAAACAAACCCAACAGGCAUCUGGACAGGUAGUUAAGUUGCUACUACUGAAUUUCUUACAUUUUCCCAAACAGUGAGGGGAAGUUUAGUAAAAUAAAGGUUCCUACAUGCUCAAAAAUUGUCCAACAUCUCCCAAACAAGCAGCUUACAAAAAAAAAACAAAGCCCUGAAAAAUACACAGCAAAACCCUAAUGUGAAUAAUGAAGCAUGACCAAACAUUCUUUAUUUUAAAAAAUCUUCUAUAUUCUGUCUUUACUUCGAAGUUUUUUAAAAAAACAUUUGGAAAGGUUCAUCACCUGUGAAAAAUCAUAGCUUGGUGAAAAAAUAUCCUAAUUUAUCACUUCAAUAUGAUACUGCAGGGAUACGCAACUACUGAAACAAGAAAAAGCAAUUUUAAGAAGUUUAUUUACCCAUUUUCUUUCUCUGAAUGUGAUACAGCAGGACUGACUCCCCUUUCUGCAAGGCCUGCAGAACCAAGUCAGCAACCUCAAACAAAACUAUUGCCAGACAACCAGUAUCUCAAUUCAUAUGUACCUAUAAUCUCCCAGCUAAUGACAUCUCACUGUGGAGAACCAUAGGAAUACUAACUUGCAUGUGAGGCCUCAUUUCAGUACCAGCACUCAGUCCAGACUACCAGCCUACAGCACAUGAGAUCUGCCUACUCUGGCAGCAGUGGAUAACCAUGCAUAUGUGUGUCACACAGCCAUCCAGCUGUGUCCCCCACGCUAGGCUGUGGGCAGCACAAUAGAGCUUGUUUAAGUUCCACUUAACGCCUCUCUGUUCCCAGAAUAAGAAAACUGUGGCAACUGUGGUACUGGUUGUUAUAGAAGCUCUGUCACUGGAAGUGAUUAAUAACAAAGUAGAACAAAUACUCAUGCAGGCCAAUCCCUGGCAGGGUAGAUGAGCAGCAUUGCAAAUGUUACAUUUUCAGGACCUAAUUCAUGCCAUUCUAUCUGCUGCUCUGUUACUUUUCUGUAUAACUGUAUAACAAAGUAGGGAUGGUAGAGACUGCUUAAUCAGGACAGUCUAACCUAUGGGCAAUUAUCCAAAACCACGUAUUUUCUAAAUUCUGUGCAGAAGAGAGAUGGAGCUUAAGAGCUCUGUAGGGAUCAGAGCUGCUAACCAACUUAUAAGAAGAGCUCUGGGGAUUGGAACGGGAAUAAUGAGAAAAUCUGGAUAUUCAGCGUGAAGAACACUCCCAGUUUAGCUACAGUUACGUGUAAAUUAAACUUGUAUUUAACGUUUAUUGCUAUACAGUUCACUUUAAAAUUUCUCAUGGAAUAGCACUGGGAGAAAUUGUAUAGCACGUGAUUUUUCCCCUCUUUUGUUAUUAGUGUGACUGAGAGGAAUACCUGGGAAACUUGGCCAAGCACAAUUGGAAGUACAAUCAUGCAAUCAGGCUGUCCUGAUAGCUUCCCCUUUUUCAGGUUACAGCAUCACGCUAUGCGGUUAUUUCCAUGUUCAUGUUUAGAUAUCACAUGUAUCUGUAUACAUAGUGAUAAACACACAUGUAUUUAUAACACAGGUAAACACUACUAAAAUGAUGAGGCCUGGAGAAGCUAUAUAGUACUAGAAUUACAAAGUAAGAGGGAAAAAAAAUCUUCCAGAAUACUUCAUCCUCUACUUUCUUCCAUUAUUCCUUUGACAAAACAUAAAGUGCUUCCAACAUAUUUAACUUACUGAAGUCUGAAGACAUCCUUGAUAUUCACAUUUAUUUCUAAUCUAGUUCCUUUGUUACUGAAUCAGUUUAGAAAAACUUCUCUGUUCAGGAAAGCACUUAAGCAUACACAGAAGGACAUUCUUAAAGGUAAGUAUCUUCCUGAAUAAAUCUUAUCAUUUAAUGUUAAUAAACACUCCUUAAUAAACCAUUUGAUAUAUGUUUGCAAUGCAGUGAUGCUUUUAUACUCUUUCACACUGCUCAGUUUUUACUACCAAGAAAAAAAAUAGGACAUGGAAAGGUGACUUCAAAUUUUUGUAAGUUAAGUUUAAAAUGGGUUUGAAAACCUCAUUUUCAGAAACAAACAACUUCAGAAAAUCAAGUUCAUGAUAAACUUAUUGUCUGAGGAUCCAUCAUCAGUAAUUAUUUUGGAAAUCUUGACCUAAUCUUCUAGACAAGCAGUUAUACCCACAACAACAAACAACUCGGCUUCCAGUUUGAAGCAGCAGUAAUUGAAUUGUGAAUAGUUGUUGGGAUUGAUCACAACUGAAAUGUGCAAAUGAGCAUGAGUGUGCGUGUCUGUGUUUGUAUGGAUAUAAAGCAUAAACCACAUAAACUUUUAGGGAGGGAGCGAGCUCCCCUUUCACAGACUCAGUCGAACAAGGCUAUCUGAAUGCAAACAGUGUUCCUGAAACACUCUUAUCACGUCUCCUCUUCCUCUGCAAAAAAUCACGCAUGCUAAACUCAAGAAUUGGGAAAAUUCUGCGACCAAGCACUUCAGCUGUGGUACAACAAAGGUAAUGCAAAAACAGACAGUGACUAAGCAAGGGCAUUUCUACUUUCCUUGUCAGUGUUCCUAGCCAUGAACUCAUGCUCUCCCACUGCUCUUUCAGCUGUGGAGCUUCAAUGUGAAUCUUCCUGCAAGACUGUUGUGAAACCUUUUCUCCCUAUACAGUUCAGCAAAUAGUACCUCAACAUGCUGUAUUUGCACAGUUGAAGGAAAAGCAAAAUAGUGAAUUAGCAACAGGAAAUAGUGAGAGGUGACAGAGAAAAAGGCAACAAUGUCACUAGGAUCUGUAGGAUCUACAGAAGACCUUGAUCACUGGUCACAUUUUAUAAAAGUCCAGGGACAAUCUGUAAGCUCUGAAUUGUUCCUCAGUAUUAUAAUUCAACAGAUGUCCGGAAAAGCAGUCUUAUGCCAGAAGAACUUGGAGAGAAAGGUGAUCUAAAUGCACCUGGCAUGUAAAUCCAAUCAGCUUGCCACACAAGAGGGAUUUAUCCUCUCUUUGUAUUUUUAGUUUUAUAAUGGCCAUGGUGAUCUUAGCAUCCCUGAUCCAUGCAUCCCUAGUGUACUUAAUGUCUCAUUUGGUAUAUAGAAUAGAACAGAGCGGAGCACAGCAGAAUGGAAUGGAAUGGAAUGGAAUGGAAUGGAAUGGAAUGGAAUGGAAUGGAAUGGAAUGGAACGGAAUGGAAUAGAAAAGAAUAGUUGGAAAGGAUCUACAAAGAUCACUGAGUCCAACUGCCAGAUCACUUCAGGGACAAUAAAAAUAAAAGCAUAUUAAUGAGUCCUCUUGGAUACUGACAGGUGUGGGGCAUCAACCACCUCACAAGGAAGUCUAUUACAGUGUUCUAUCAUCCUCAAGGUAAAGAAAUGUUUACUAAUGCCCAGACUGAGCCUUCUCUGGUACAGCUCUGUGCCAUUCCCAUCCUACCAUUGGUUCUCAGGAGCAGAGCCUGGCACCUCCCCCUGGCACUUCGCCCUCAGGGAGCUGCAGAGAGCAGUGUGGUCAACUCUCUGCCUUCUCUUCUCCAGAGUGGACACCCUAGCCCCUCUCACACGGCAUUACUUUGCUUUUAUGUUGUGGAGAAAAGGAUGGCAUGCUGUAUAGGUGAGACUGCACCAAUGUAAAAUGUAGCAGGGCAAUCAUGUGACUGGCUAUGCUGUGCUUAAUGCAUCCCACAAAGUGUUUAGCUCUUUAUUUUCCUAAUAAGACGGAACUGGCUUGAAAUAAAGUUUUGCAAAAAGUGGACUGAGAUUUCAAAAUUCAUGCUUUCAAAAUUUGUAUAAAAAGAGAAAUAACAUUUAUCAUAUGUUAUUGGAGGGGAGGUUACAGGGUUACAGGUCAAAAUACCCAUGUACCCAUGCAUAAGAGAACAAAAGACAUCUCUUCCCCCUCCCCCCCCCCCCCCCCCGCCCCCCUCCCCACACACACACAUACUCCUUCUUACUAAGCUCCCCUUCCAAAGCAGAGCAGCUCAGAUGUCAGACCAACCAGAGCAGAGACACCCAGGUCAGUUUUGCCUCUGCAGAAUUUCCAUCUUGCUCCUUCCAAGUCUUGCUAUUGAAGUUUUCUCAAAGACAACACAACCUCUUCUUCCUCAGCAGUGAGAAAAGAAAUAUGCGACUGUGUGCCAUGUUGCAGCUAUUUGUGUAGCCUCUCCCACUAUGAGCAUUUGGCAAACCCCCAUUUCUUGAGAAACUGCAUUUAGUUUGUGGCACUGCUACAAAAGUAGACUGUGAAAGCAGCACUUCUACUAACACACCAGUAAAAAUCCCAAGCUAGAGAUUUUGAAGAUGAUGUCAAUCCAAUAUUCCUCCUACACACGUGAAACCAAAAAUUGCCAUAAAGACUGCUAUAGAUUAAAAUUCUCUUAAAUGGGCUGUUACAAUAAAUAAGCAAAUUAGUUCUUAGAACCAUAGAACACAGCUCCAGUCAGAACAGCACAGAAGAGUUGAAUUACAUCAGGCAUAUUUUCAAGCCUGUUAUCAAAACUAUCAAUCAUGUCCCAUCUAACAAGAAUCCUGCAACAUUAAAACUUCAGCAAAUACAGAAAUUGUCAUAAGGAAUAAAGAUUGCUUCAAAAUUGUCUUUGCUGUGAAGCACAAAGUUUGCAUUCAUGUAGUCGUACGCAUCUCCACUGACCUCAGACAACCUGUGGGAAGAUGUAAACAAGAUAAAAGCUGUCUGGAGCUACAUGAGCUAACCACAGCCUGCCUGUGGACUAUGGAUAUAAUCUCUCCAUUUUGUCUCAGAUAGACAGGAAAGAAAAAUAUUCUCUGUUAUCUUGAUGACAGAAGCCUCAGAGAUGGAUUGAAGAUCCCCAAUCAGAAUGAAAGAUGUUACUCAGCUUUAACGUGGUGCUGGCAAACUUUGCUCAGAUGGAAGCAUCAGAGCCAGAGCUGUAGCUAUCCCUUGUAUCAACAGUGUCUGGAUAAUCUCAACUGGAAACACUAAAAUCAGUCUAUCAACUUUAAUGAGAACAUACAGGUUUAUAAGCUCUACAAAUUUACUAUACUUUUGCCCAGGGCCUACUUGCAUACUUUAGAGAACAGUCUUUUU
rnacentral:lncRNA from 1 species